UGGCUCAGUUGGUAGAGCAUGGUGUUUGCAACGCCAGGGUUGUGGGAUCGAUUCCCAC
rfam:Salmo salar isolate Sally breed double haploid chromosome ssa13, whole genome shotgun sequence.